ACAAGUCAAUUAGACCUCGUCUCUCACGAGCCUAAUUCCUAUAGUCCAACCGGCCUAAGAUUUGCUAGGUCCACUAAGACUCAACCCUAGGCUCUGAUACCAAAUUAAUCUGUCACGCCCCGGGACCGGCAGAGGCCCUCCCGGGAGCGCGCCCAGACCCGCCAUAUGUCUACACAUACAAGGCGUCUACAAUAAAAGCGGAAGUAAAAGCAAGAAAUAACCUACAACUAGAGAUAUCAGAGCAAGUAUGAUACUAUCAUCUAUAAAGGGAGAGUACAAAGAUCACAACUAAACCAUGGAAGUAAACAUAAAGUAAUACAAUAUCUGUCCAAAAAGUGCACAAAAUAGGUGGUCUCUAGUACACUGGUACAGCUCUCAACCUCUCCAAAAUAAAAACAUCGAGAGGUAGACCACCUAGCGACUCGUCUCUCGCUGAAGAGCUAGCUCGAAGCCACGCCUUUCCCUCGGUCCCUAGCCUCUCCCGGCGUGGAAGGCUCUGAAAGAAAACAUAAAACAGAGGGCGUGAGAACUAUAAUUUAUAGUUCCCAGUGGGCAAUUACUGACCUCAGCUCAAUGCACCACUAGGCCCCAAAAGAAAAGGGUAAGUAAUGACAAUAAUAUUAAGCAAUAAAGAGUGAGUAUAAGAACUGCCGGAAGAAAGCAUAAAUGAAAUGCUAUACUACUAUGUCUCAAGUAAGCAUGAUGUCAUGGUGGUGUACAUCUACGCUAUCAUAGAUAAUAUGUCCAAUGCAUACUAAUAAGUCUCAACAUAAUAAACAAGUAAACCUCACGAUACUAUAUGUCAAUGCACAAGAAGUAAGCCCUAUCCAAGCAACCGAAUAUACUACAAUGCAACAAAUGAAACCGGCAAGUAUACUAUAUAUACCAAUGCUAUAUCAUAGGCAUAUCAAAGUAAUACAACUACUAAACCUAUCUAGUAGUGAUUAUUCAUUCUCAUCACUGUGUCGAUUUCCAAUUCCAAUUAAGGACCUACCAAAGGUAGUCCAGCUUGUGCCGCCUAAGUGCUUGUGGUAGCCCAACAUCCCUACUCUUGGAAUGUGUCUGUCCUACUCGACCCCGUAGGCUUCUCAAUACCGCACGAGCGAACAUAGGUCGCAUAGGCUAACUCCGGAGUGCCGGCUUGUAGGGAGCGACCCUCACAAGCAUGUGCGAAUGAGCACAAAUGGCAAGCAAGCGUAGUCAACGUCUCAAGUACCCAAUCAUCAUGUCUCUAACAUGGUAUAGUCACUAGCAUCUCGAAGAUCUAGUUCUAAGUCACAAGUGAAGUUCCGACAUUCAUUACGCCUAGUGCCCCUUGAUGACACUUAGACAAUUUAAUGUUCAACAUGUUUCCAAUCCCUCAAUGGCCCUAUUCACUAGGUUCACACAUGUCCUGAGCUCAAUGCCGCUUGAUGACAUUAGCUCUCUAAUUCACAUACAUUCUAAUUCGAUACCUCUAUAGGGCAAUUUUGCCAUCUUUCAUGUCACAAAUAAACCUAGGUUUAAAUACAUGAAUCAAAGCUUAUUUUCAUUAUAAGGAAUAUGGCCCAACCUGAGAAUGCUAAACAAUCAACCAUAAGCUUCAUAUGCAACUCUCUACUACAUAGAAGUCCAAAAUUGCACUAUAUGUAAUAUAGGCAUUUUAAGCAUUCUAAAAUUCACAACAAAUACAUAUAACAAGAAUAUGCAUGCUUUUUCAUUUUACAACACUUAAAUCAUCAACAAUGAGAUUUUCUCAUUGUGUGGCUAGGUCAAACCCACCGAACCGUCGCGUGCUCCUUCGAUUCGUCGAACGGAGUUGUCCACGAGUCUCAAAAUACCCUAAAAGUAUUGAGCGAAGAGAUACACGGGCAUUACGAGCAAUUCUAGGCUUAAACAUUAACAAUUAUAGCAAAAGGGCUAAAAUCUCACCUCUAGUGCAAAAUCUCUUCCUAAGCUCCAAAAGAGAGCUAGAACCCUUCCAAUCCAACCUAGAGGAAGGUUCUAAUCCGAUUAAUCGAGCUCCAAAAGCCCUAGAUUCAAAAUGCCCAAAAUAAACCCUAAGUUCCCAAUCUAGGGUUUCAUCUCGAAUCCAACAAUAAAACUUGAAUCUAGAGGGAGAGAACUAGUAGAUUACCUCUUAGAAGCUUCAAUCCAAGCUCUAAACUCUCCAAGUCCGAAGAUCUUCCCUCAACUAUGCCUCAAAUCCAAGCUCCAAGCUUCAACUAUGGAGACAAGCAUAAAAGGGGAAAAGAGAGGGAUUAAACCUUAAAUCCCAAGCUAAAAAGGAGAUCAAAUCCAAAAAGGUGAAGGGGAGAGGUGCCCUACCUGGUUCUCCACUCUUCUCAGCCCAGGGGAGAGCCCUAGGGGCAUGGGUGAUGAUAUAAGAAAGCAACAAUGCAAAAACACCCCUGCAGAAUCAAACAUUCAGAUUUUGUCAUUACGUACCGGUACAUGGGCCCGCGUACGGGUACACAUCCUGCGAAAAUGCUAAACCCGAGCCUCGGGUUUGCUGGAAAACUGCCUGUGUAUCGGUACACCAUCCCGUACCGGUACAGCCAUCAACCUUGUACCGGUACACAGCCUGAUGAAGGCUACCCAAGAGCUGACCAAAAAUCCGAUUUUUCGGAUUUUUGUGCUAGGCUUUAAACCUCACUUCUCGGGAUGCGAGCCACGGGUCGGAACACAGUCAACGACCUACCAGAAAAUCUGGAAAAGCUCAGAACACAGCCAAUCACUCGAACCUCGCAAUUUGCAAAGGUCCAGUGUGUUACAAAAGCAGGGAUUAAUUCUGAGAUUUGAUCUGCAAGAGUGUGGAGAUCCGAUCAUCAUUGACGCCAUCACCUCAGAUAAGCAUCAUCAUUGAGUGUUGUGUCUCCGAUCGAAUCUUAAAUCGAGAUUGUCACGCUCGAUUUGGGUUGGGAAUUCAUCAUUAUUCAAUUCAAUACCUAGAUUUCCAUCAUCGAAUGGAGUUGAACAAGCUGAGCCAUAACAAUUGGUAUUAGAGCAGUUUCGGUCCCAGGGCAGAGGAGGAACUAAUGAACAAACAAAUUUGAGAGUUGUUUCGCUUUACCGAUCACUGGUAUGAUCGAUUUAUCCCACUCGCCUAUUUAACUGUUCGAUUAAUGCAAAGGAAUUGCAUGCAACUUAGCAUCUAGCAAUUUAUACGAUUCUUGAUCCACACUGUAUGAGCCAACCAUCGAAGAACUUCUAGUAGCAUUGAGGUAUUUGACAAAUCGAUUCAUUGAGAAUAGAGAGAAAGGAUCAUAACGGAUUUAGGUUUGUGAAGAAAAUGGCUGAGGGAACCAGACUUGAGGACACGAAUGAACAUAUCGCAUUAUUGGAAUCUAAGGUGUAGCAACUUACCACGGAGUAUUAGGAUAUGGUGAAGGAAUUGGCACACCAGAUAACAACUGUAAGUGAAGUGGGACAAAGGCAAUACGAAUCGAUUCAGGCUAAAGCUACACGGAGACAUCACGAGUUGCUGAAGGCCUUGGUGAAUCAACCUACCCCUCCGAAACCCACAACACAUAAGAUCCAGGUUGUAUCCCAGGGAGUAGUAUGACUCCAUUGGAGAUUGGAGAGAAUCAAGGGAAAGGAAUCUUACUAGCACCAAUGGGGAUACCCGAAUGAGAUGGAAAUUGGAAGCAUCAGCAUGACUCUAGCAAAAUCAGUCAACAUCAGCAUACCCCUUACCCCAAGGUAGAAUUUUCAGUUUUCAAUGGUGAAGAUCCCCGUUCCUAGAUCGAAAACUAUGAGCAGUAUUUUGACAUCUUCCAAUUACCCCAACAACAAUAGGUGGGUAUAUCUGCCAUGCAUUUAAUUGGUCGGGCGAUGGAAGCAAAGUUAUUUUAACAAUAGGCACAGAGUUACUUGCGACGAGUUUGCAGAUGCUAUUUACAGAAGGUUUACGCAGGUAGGAGGAAGGUAUUUGGUGAGAGAAUUUUGCAAUUUACGACAAGUAGGAACAGUUGUCACGCCCCGAGACCCGCUACUUUGGUCGGAUUCGGGCACACCGACAGACCGCCGAACGGACAGAGUCUCCCAUGUACGUCCUAGGCGUCACAAUCCAUACAAUUUGCGGGGUUCCAACCAGGAAUACAAUUCAUACAUGAUUGCAUCAGGAAGGUAUCAAUAACAUAAAACACAAUUGCUUAGCUAUUACAAGCAUUCGUCUCAACAUUACAUGCAUUUUACAUUUUUCCGUUAGCUUCCAAAGACAAUCCAUUAGUACAAUUUUGUUUCUUUCUUUUUUUUUUCCCUAUACCCUAAGCUAUGCCGACUCAGGGUACUGCGAUCUCUGGUCUCAGUGGUAGGGCGCUAUCUACUGAGCUAAGCACUUUCCUCGCGCCGCCGCGCUGCCUCGUCGCUCGCGUGUGGACCUGAAAAACGUGGGGGUGAGAACUAUAAAAUUAGUUUCUAAUGGGUGCAUAGCUUAGGGUAUAGGGCACUAUUUACGGAGCUACGCCCUUUCCUCGUGCCGUAGGGCCGCUCGCAUGUGAACCUGAAACCCCCAAAACCACGUAGGGUGAGAACUAUAUAAAUAGAGUUCCCAAUGGGUACGGCCACCCACGGGAAGAGCUCGACUUAUAGGUCCGAAAGAGACACUGCAACAUGUUAGUCCAACAGAUAUUCACAGAUAUUUAUGCAAGUAUUAAAAUACAUGUUAUGCCUCUCAACAUGCAACAUGAAAUUUAUGCAACUAUGCAAUCAACUAGUAGAUCAACUGAUACUACUUUCAAUCCUGCUAUCCAUAGCUCAUAUCAUCUAGCUUCUAAGGUUUCUACUACCUUAGAUUCAGCUCAAGUCUAACUAGCUUCUAAGGUUUUUACCACAUUAGCUUUUGCCAUUUACCACUUGCUUUCAAGGUUUUUACCAUCUUAACUAAGCUAUCCACCCGACUCGGCCUCGAGUCAAUCAUCCGCGGAUUACCGCGCCAAGCUAGGCUCGAGGUGAAGGACGUCUCACAUGCACCUCAGCCUAAAAUCCACUCGACUAUAGGUCCACCACAGGGUGAGGAGAACCGUCGAACCCUGGACCAUAAGUCGCCAAGCUCAAUGGGCGAGGAGAACCAACAUACCCGUUCUGAGCUCAUAUCGGGCGAGGAGAACCAACAUACUCGUUAAAUCACUGCUGGGCGAGGAGAAUCAACAUACCCGCAGUUCUGAUUCACUUGCAUUCAGCCACAAGUUUCCACCGCUCUUUUCGCGGCCACCAUAACUAGGGAUUCCAAAAUUCAUUUCCACUUCUCAAGGGUUAUCUGCAAACCCUACAAUGUCGACCUAUCUAGGUUCGACCCAUAAACAUUCUAAUGGCUGCUACCACUAUAGUCACAACCUAGGUUCAACCACUCUAGGUUCUAUGUCAUCUCUACCUAGAUCUCAACUUCUAGGUUCACUUGUUCAACCUAUGUUUCAUGACACUAGGUUCAAUGCCACUCGAUCUACUUGACAUCCUACUUGUCCACAUCGAGUAUUAUAGCUUACAUAUCUUUGUUUUCCAAUGUCGAGUUCUCUAAUCCACCUAGAAUUAUCGACCCAAGUUUAUAUCUACAUGAAUCUAGCACAUGCUACAACAUGUCAUCAUGCAUAUUCAUCUAGCAUCUCAAGAUAUGUCAACAUGUAAAUUUAUCAUCUAGCAUCUCAAGAUAUGUCAUCAUACAUAUGUUUUUAUCAUCCAAUGGUAGUCAAGCAUCUCAUGCAUUUAUAUAGCAUCAUUUUCAUGCAUUCAUCUAGCAUUUAAUUUUUGCAUUCAUUUAGCAAUUAACUACCAUUAUAUGGAUCAACGAGAAACAACACUUCACUUCGACAUGGAAGUGAGCUAACAUUACAAAAAAUGUUACAUUUAAGAACGCUCUUUUUUAUAUUUUACGAUGUUUAAAAGCAUCCCAAUAUAUUCCAACGUCACUUUUGAAAGCGUCGGUCAAAGCGUCGGCAAAUGAAGAGUCGCCAUAGAUAUAUUGACACUUAUACCAAGAGUCAGUAAAAUAUAUUUUGAUGCUUUAAAGUAUCAGGAUUUUUGAAAUCCUGACGCUUUAAAGCGUUGAAAAAUUAAAAAUAAUAGUAAAUUUUAUCAUCAUUUAAUAAAUUGUUUGAUAUCAUAUGAUGACGCCUUUUAAAGCGUUGGUAUUUUCUAUAUUAUAAAAAUGCUUGGAGACGCUUCCCCUAAGCGUCGUUUAAAAUGCGUCCUUAUAUUAAAUUAUUUUGUAGUGUAAUAUCUUCGGUGAGCACAACCCACCUCGUAACGCUUUCCGAUUGCUUGUAGUCACUUGCAAUCGGCCUCCCACGGCGCUCAUUGUCCGGUUCGGCUCGAAUCCGCAAUCGACCGGCAACUGCACAUUAAUCCGCAACCUAGGGUCUUCAAGGGCCCUUCUUUAACCUCCAAUUAGAGAAUAAAAUGGUUAAAUGAGAUCAAAACCCACCAUUUGCCCAAAAACUUAUUCCAAGCCCUAGCCUUAGCAUCAUCUCCAAAUAACCCAAAUCUCAUGGAGAAAACAUGCUAAAAAUGCUUUAGAGGCUACUAGAACACUAAGCAUUAAGGAUUAAACUAAAUCCCGAAAGCUUACCAAAAUGUGAACGCCGAGUCGGAAGCACGCCGCUCAACUGGGCGCACGAAGACUCGAUUCGACGCUCCACAUGCGUUCCCAAGCCCGCUCUCCGCCAAGCCUCCGAAUUCGAGAGUGGGAUCUAGAAAGAGAAGGAAGAUAUCUAGAGAGAGAUAGGGAGUUUCUCUCCCCUCUAUUUGUGUGUGUGUGUGUGUUGUAGGGCUGAGGGAGGAAGAAAGGGGAAGAAGCCCUUUUUAUAAGUCAAACCCCCAUCAACAAUUACAAGUAUGCUACUGUUACUGUGCAUUUUUCGGGCUCGGGGUCCAGACCUUGGCCCUAGGGUCCGGACCCCGUAGGUCCAGAAUUUCAGCAAAUUUUAGACUUAGCCAAAAUUUCACCGUUUUCGCUCGUUUUCGCUCCGUGGGUCUCCGAUUCACUUCUAAUCGUACCGAGACCCCCAAAACAUAUUUUUGAGCGUGUCUAAAUUAUCUUUUCAUCCACGCCUUGCUGGAAUUCGGUCAAGAUCCAUUCAUAGUUUUUCGGGUUCCGUUUUCACGCCCGACGCGUACCGAAAACGCCCGAAUACUUCCGAAUUUCACCGAAACCGUUCCAAUAGCUUUCCAAACUAACAUACCCCGUAACUUCAUAACUAUAGAAGUUCGGUAUGCUACACUGCACCACAUCGGCUUGUUGCCUCACCACUACUAUGAGUAUGGCCAACUGAUCACGAAGUUCCGAGUCUCCGCUCGCCUCGGAUUGCUCAGGGACAUCAUUUGUCCCAUCCCGCGCCGAUCUGGUUGAAGAUCGCCUACGCGGUGCCAUCAUUCCCUGAAACAUGACAACUCGGUUAAUUCUCGAUCCUCUAAGUCGAGCACGAAAUAAUUAACAUCGACCCAGACUUAAAACAGGCGAAAGUCAAGCAACGGAGCCUAUUCUCAUCACUCGGUUUCAUGUUGUUGCGCGCCAACAUGAACGCACUCGGCUGAGAAUAAACCACAUCUUGAAUCUACCUCUAACAUCCUUUUUAGCGGCGUACAACACACGACACAAUCGAUUCAUCUUUCGCCACAAGUCACAAGUUCUCGUCUCUCACAAGCCUAAGUUCUUAUGGUUUACUAUCCUAGGGUCUCCUAGGUCCGUCUAAACCAUUUUCUUUAUUCUCUUUAUACUCUGAUACUAUAUUAUCUGUCACGCCCCGAGACCCGCCACUUUGGUCAGAUUCGGACACGCCGACAGACCGUCGAACGGACAGAGUCUCCCCUGUACAUCCUAGGCGUCACAAUCCAUACAAUUCGUGGGGUUCCAACCAAGAACAGAAUUCAUACAUGAUUGCAUAAGGAAGGUAUCAAUAACAUAAAACACAACUACUAAGCUAUUACAAGCAUUCGUCUCAACAUUACAUGCAUUUUACAUUUUUCCGUUUAGCUUCCAAAUACAAUCCAUUAGUACAAUUUUGUUUCUCUCUUUUUUCCUUUCCUAUACCCUAAGCUAUGCCGACUCAGGGUACUGCUAUAUCUGGUCUCAGUGGUAGGGCGCUAUCUACUGAGCUACGCCCUUUCCUCGCGUCGCCGCGCCGCUCACGUGUGGACCUGAAAAACGUGGGGUGAGAACUAUAAAAAUAGUUCCCAAUGGGUACGACUACCUAAGGGAAGAGCUCGACCCACCAGGUCCAAAGGAGGCAACAAAGCAAGUUAGUAUAACAGAUAUAUAAUCAUUAUAUAAUUAUCAUGCAACUAACCGCUAACAUGCUUAUGCUUCACAACAUGCAAUAUGCAAGUUAUGCUACCAAUGCAAGCAGAUCUACUGAUUCUACUUUCUAUUCCAUAAUUCAUACCACUUAUAUUAUUGGCUAUUCUCUAUCACUUGCCACUUGCUCCUAAGGUUCAUUUACCUUAGCCAACUAUGCCACCCGACUCGCUCUCGAGUUAAUCAUUCGCAGAAUAUCGCGCAUAUCCAGGCCUGAGGAGAGGAACCUGCUGUGCACCUCAGCCUUCAAUCCACAAACUACAUUGCCCAACGGGUCGCGAAAAACUGCGUACACCCGUAGUCAGGGAUCUCCCGGUGGGAGAGGAACAUGCCGUAUACACCCGCAGCCGAGAUCUCCGAUAGGGAGAGGAACAUGCCACAUACACCCUAGCGCCUGAAGAUUCUUCCGGUGGGAGAGAAACAUAUCACAUGCACCCGCGGCCAAGAAUCUUCCAUAACCACAAUCCUCGAAGUUCUUUCGGUGGGAGAGGAACAUUCCACAUGCACCCACGGCCAAGAACUAUCGAGAUCCACAAGUCCUGGGAUUCCGGAAUCCACUUUCCGUAUCUCAAGGGUUAGUCUCAUACCCUAAAAUGUCAACCUCUCUAGGUUCGACGAUUCAUGCAUAUCCUAGUGGUCACUCUACAACUAUAAUUCACAACCUAGGUUUAACCACACUAGGUUCUAUGCCAUUUCCACCUAGAUUCACUCGACUCUAGGUUCACUGUUCAACCUAUGUUCACUGGCACUAGGUUUGAUGCCACUAAUGCUACUUGUUAUCCUAGUUGUCCACACCUAGGAUUUAUAGUUUUCAUGCCACACCUGUCGAGUUCUCUAAUUUUUCUAGAGUUUAUCGACCCAAUUUCAACAUUCACAUCUAGGCAUACAUAUAUACAUAUCCUAUAUGUCCACAUGCCUAUGUUUUAUCCAAUGGUAGUCAAUACCUAGCAUCUAUCUCAUGCAUUCAUAAUUACCAUUAAACUACCAUUACCUGCAUCAAUAAUCAACCAUACUUCACUCUUUGGCAUGGAAGUGACCUAAUCACUUCGGUGAAGCACAACCCACCUCACAACACUUCCGAUUGCUUGUAGACACUUGCAAUCAGGCUUUCGCGGUACACGUCGCCGGGUUCGGCUCGAACUCACAAUCGACCACCAAACGCUCACUGAUUUCCAACCUAGAGUUGUCUGGGGCUCUCCUUUAUCCUUCAAUUAGAGAAUUAGGAGAUCAAUUAGGCUUAAAACCCUUAAACUUCAAAACUCCCAAUUUCAAACGCUAGCUUUUCCCAUUUCUCCAAAUACCUCAAAAAUUCAUGGAGCAACAUGUUUAUCUAGCUUAGUGUAGUUUAGGGAUAUCUGGAAUAUCAUGCAUAAAGGAUUCAACCCAAAUCUUAAACUUCUAACCAAAUGCGAACCUCGAGUCGGAAGCACGCCGCAACACCAAGUGCUCGAGGGCCGGAUCCACCGCUCCCCACGCGUUCCCGUGCUCGCUUUCCACCAAAACCGCAAGUUUGGGAGAGAGAUCAAGAGAGGGAAAGAGAGGAGACAUACUAGAGAGAGAGAGAGGAGAGUUUCUCUCUCUACAUAUGUGGGUGUGUGUUUGUUUUGGCUGAGGAAGAAGAAGAAAAAAGGAGAAGUGUCCCUUUUUAUAAAGCCCACCUCCCACAAUUAUCAAAAUGCCCUUCUUUUGGGUACCCGACUGUGUGGGGUCCGGACCCUGGCUCUAGGGUCCGAACCCCGAGACCAUUUCCAGCUCAGAACGAGCUGGAAAUUCCUAGCUUGCUCUCCAAGGUCCCAACCACUUAUGCAAUGCACUCCGAAGCACUCGAAAUGAUUAAUGGACCUUACCAUCUUGUCCGCUACCAUACUUCAGUCAAUUCGACUGAAGUUCGGUACGCCUUACCGAAGUUUUGGUAUAGUACAUCAGUAGAGAGGUAUCAGGACAAGUUUGAAGAGUUGAGGACCCAACUCCUAUACUAUAACCCUCAUAUUUCCGAAGAACACUUCAUUGCUUGUUACAUUAAUGGUUUGAAGGAGGAGCUAACACCUUUUAUGGACAUUGCACAUUCGGUAACUUUGGAGGAGGCAUAUGAACAAACAAAAUUGCAUAAGAAGGCUUUGUUAAUAAUGAGUAGGAAGAUCAGAGAGGUUUCCAGACUGACGAGUGGGCAGUUCCCAAACUACCAUAAUUUCAAGACAUGAUCAUGGGGAUUUGGCAAUAAGAAUGCAGAAUUAGCUAAGGUACAGCAAAAAGGAGCUGAUAACCCACCUAUAAACAAUAAACAGUUGAUAGAGCAACAAAGGGCUGUGGGGUAGUGCUUUAAGUGUGGCAAGAAGUACCAUCCUGGCCAUAUUUGUCAGAAUAGAACUUUCAAUUCUAUCCAUGGCACAGAGGAACAAUCAGAAAUCUAUGAUGAGAGUUGCUUAGUAGAAGAGGCAGAAGUGGGAGAGGAAGAAAGUGGCAAUGAGUAGGAAGAGAACUUGAGAUUGGAGUUUCCAUGCAUGCCUUGAGUAGAGAGAAACCACAAGACACUAUUAAGGUGCAAGGAGAAGCAAGGAAUAGAACCAUAUUGAUCGACACCGACAGUACACAUAGUUUUAUAGACUUUCAACAACUAAGGAAAUCAAGGCCCACAUGGUGACAGCUACACCCUUGGUGGUAACAGUAGCAAAUGGACAAAAGAUUCUUAGUAAGCUACAGUGUCCACAGUUCUCAUGGCUUAUGCAAGGUCAAGGUUUUAAGGAUGAUCUAACGGUAAUAAGAUUGGAGGGAUCAAGUAUCGUUUUGGGAAUCGAUUGGUUAAAUCAUAUUGUAAGAUCCUUUUUGAUUUUCAACAAAACUCUAUAACCAUCACCAAGGAAGGCCAACCCUUCGUGUUGAAGUGCAUUAGUGAAAGAGCCAAACUCAGGUUAAUCUCGGCUAAACAACUAUAUCAAGAACUGCAAACGGGGGAGUGUUGUGUUCUAAAUCAGUGUACUGCCGGGAUCGAGGAUGAAAGGGAGGAGGAAAUACCUACUAUCAUACUGCAAUUCUUGAGUCAUUUCGAAGAUAUAUUUGAGGAGCCUAAGGAAUUGCCACCCCAAAGGCCCUUAUGUCACGCCCCCGACCGCACUACCCGAAAACGGCACCAAUUUGGUCCGGUUCGAGGGCGGCGGGCGUGAUGCCGAACGGACAGAGUCUCCCCUGCCCGCCCAAGGCUAACCAACAGGAUUGUGCACAACAAGUCCCCAGGAAAACAACUUGAUUGCAUGCACAACCAUUCAAUGAUAACGAGUGCACAAACAGUGCAAUACAACCAAAGAGCAAGCGAUAUUUGUAAGAAGCAUACAAGUAUACAAAAGAGAGAAACUUAACUAUUAGAGACAUAAUUGAAACAUUUAAUAUCUUGAUGUCAUUAGAGCUUUAACCAUUUAAUACAACUUGCAUUCUUUUUCCAAAAUGUAAAUACAUCAAAUCCUCUCCAAAAUCUCACCCUAUAUACAUCAUCUACUAUCAAAAUAUAAGAACAUGGUGGAACUAAUGCGAGUAGGGAAGUAAGCUAUCAACUGAUACCGCUAGGGCGCUAAGCCCUUGCCGCGAUCCUCCCGCUCGGUCGGGACACUCGAACUAGCACCUGCAACAACGGGUGUGAGAACUACGAAUAGUUCCCAGUGGGUUCGGCCGCCGACUCCGCCGAUUUACCCACUAGGUCUUAAGCAGGCAUAGAGAGAUAUAUAUAUAUGCAAUAUAUAUAAAGCUAAACUGAACUGAAAGCAGGUAUGCGAAAUAGGUAUAUCAAGCUAUGCCUCAAUCUGAUAUCAUGGAUGCAUGAACAAUAAAUAAGGCUGAGUAAGUAAGCAACUAUGAACAACAACAACAACUAUGAAAGUUAGCUAUCAUGAGCAAUGAUAAUGAGUAUGACUCAAUAGGUAACCAAAUCUCAAGGUGAACUCGGGGUUCACAAGCAUAACUCACGUGUAAAUCUCAUAGGGAAAGUCUCACUGAACUACUCCCCGAGACCGCCUGCGGACAGCACACUGACCAUCCAGACAGCACACUGACUGUCUCUCUAGUGACCAACCUCCGGAGUGCACAGCUUGUGGGCCGGGGAGCGACCCCUCCAAACGCAGACAGGCUAUGUGAGCACGAUCAACUCACGAACCGCAGCAACCUACCCUCUAAGGGUAAUCUCAUCAUGGAAUCAAGGUAUACUUGUACCCAAUCUCAUAGUGUCUCAACUACACUAAUGUUCUCAUAUUAAGGUCAUCAACAAUCAUAUGCCACUCAUCAUAGUUUUCUAACUAGAUGCCACUUGUCAUAGUUUUCUAUACUAGAUGCCACUUGUCAAUUUUGACUCAUUAUCAACACUAGUUACAUUAUACUAGUUCUUUAGUAACAUAAGCAUUAAUCAUCUCAUAUAGGGUCUAGAUUCUCAACAUAUAGUUUUCAUGCAUACUAGAUCCUGGAUCAACCAACAAGAUAUAUAGCUACUAGCAUGCAAAUAUAAGCAACAACAAUCAUCUUCUAACCCUAUAUGUAUAUGCACAAGAUGCAAUUUGAUCAACAUUAAACUUAGACAUAGAAGGUAGCCCGAUUGCUUCGGGAUGGUCACCACCCACCUCGUGGUAGUACCGUAGAGCUAAGAAAUGUGUUCUUUCGCGAUCUCUUUCGUCGCUUCAAAUCCUCGGGCCAACCCAAACCCUAGAGCAUUCAAGACGGCGAUAUCUUCGCGCUCACUCGUCGGAUCGACGAACCGUCUUCGCCUACGCGUUUAAGAGCAUAGCAAUUAGGUUUUUGACCCAUCAAAAUAGAUCAAUCCCUCAUAUUUUCAAAAAUCCCAAAAUCAAGCCCUAGGUUUGGCACCCAUGGGAAGCAAUAGUUUCUAGCUUCAUUGUGAGCUAAAUCCAUGUUCUCUAAGUUCAUUAGAUUCUAUUUGAACCAUCAAAACCAACCAAAAACCCUCAAACCCUAGAAAUCCAAUGUUAGGGUUAAGCCUUACCUCUAGGGUUUGCUCCAAAGCAAGCCCUAGCUUGAGGAAGAGAGGGAGAAGAGCUUCUUUUUCUUCUCCUUGACCUUCUCCUUCCUCUCCUUCUUCUUCUCUUUCUUUCUCUCCUUCUUUUCUUCUUCUUCUUCUCUUUCUUUCCCUUUUUUCGGUUUAGAGAGAGAGAGCUAAGUGUGAAAGGGAGCAGCUGAGAGAGGGGUUUAAGUCCUCUAUUGUAACAAAACCCAAAGAGCCCCUCCACUUUUCUAUUUUCCAAAGUCACCCUACUGUUCGGGCUCCCUUGUACCGGUACACGGAUUCUUGUACCGGUACACGGAUUCUUGUACCGGUACAAGGUCUGGGUGACAGCCGAACCCGAGCGCACCCGAGCCGAGGAGCCGAACCCGAGCGUACCCGAGCGCUCGGUUCCCUCGGUUUCGACGGGUUUGUACUGGUACAAGGGCCUUGUACCGGUACAGCGCCUGAAGCUUUCAAAAUCCGCGAGCUGGCGAUGGUUGUACCGGUACAGCCAUCACCCUUGUACCGGUACAACAGCUCCAGAACGCCAUUUUCACUCUGUUUCGGCUCCACUUCGCGCCGAUCGAUGUCAAAACUAUUCCAACAAGUUUGGAAGAGCAAAAAUGAGUAUAGACCACGACACCUUAGAUCACAGAAUUCCAUUACACCUUGGAGCUACUCCGGUCAACUUGAGGCCUUAUAGGUAUUCCCAUGAUGAAAAGAACGAAAUUGAGAAACAGGUUCAAGAAAUGUUGAAAACAUCAAUAAUACAAGCAAGUAACAGUCCUUUCGCAUCUCCUGUGUUAUUGGCAAAGAAAAAGGAUAGAAGUUGGAGAAUGUACAUUGACUAUCGACAACUCAAUAAAUUGACUAUCAAAGACAAAUUUCCACUACCAAUUAUUGAUGACUUGCUAAAUGAGCUGGGAAGAUCAAGGUAUUUCUCCAAGUUGGAUCUCAGAUCCGAGUACAAUCAAGUAAGAGUUUAUCCUGAGGAUAUCCCUAAAACAGCAUUCCGAACACACCACGGUCACUACGAGUUUAAAUAAUGCCUUUUGGGUUGGCUGAUGCUCCUACUACCUUCCAAGCACUUAUGAAUAUGAUAUUUACUGCCUAUCUUCGGAAUUUGUCCUUGUAUUUUUUGAUGGCAUAUUAGUUUAUAGCAAAACUUUGGAGGAGCAUGUCCAACACCUGACUGUAGUGUUGGAGGAGCUUAGAAAAAAUAGAUUAUAUGCUGAAAGGAGCAAGUGCACCUUUGGAAAUAGUAAGGUGGAGUAUUUAAGACAUAUCAUUUCUGAGGCAGGAGUAGCUACGGAUCCAGCUAAGAUCGAAGGAAUGAUUAAGUGGCCAACUCCUAAGUCGGUUAAGAGCUUAAGAGGGUUUCUGGGGCUAACUGGUUACUAUAGGAAGUUUGUAAAGAAUUAUAAAGCAAUCAGCUGACCAUUAACUGACAUUCAAAAUAAGAUCAGUUUUCAUUGUCCAGUGAGGCACAACAAGCAUUUGAAGCUCUCAAAUUAGCAAUGAUAAUAUGUCACGCCCCGGGACCGGCGGAGGCCCUCCCGGUAGCGUGCCCAGACCCGCCAUAUGUCUACACAUAUAAGGCGUCUACGAUAAAAGCGGAAGUAAAAG
rnacentral:lncRNA from 1 species